AAACUGGGAUUAGAUACCCCACUAUGUUCAGCCGUAAACUUUAAUUUACAACCCAAUCGCCAGGGAACUACGAGCAAUGCUUAAAACUCAAAGGACUUGACGGUACCCCAUAUCCCCCUAGAGGAGCCUGUCCUAUAAUCGAUAACCCCCGUUCAACCUCACCACUUUUAGCUUUAUCAACCUGUAUACCUCCGUCGUCAGCUUACCUCGUGAGCGAAACCUAGUGAGCCUAAUGUCCACACGUCAAUACGUCAGGUCAAGGUGCAGUUCAUAAAGUGGGAAGAGAUGGGCUACACUUUCUAAUAUAGAAAACACGAAAAACUACCUAUGAAAUCUAGUUAAAAGGCGGAUUUAGCAGUAAAAAGAAAACAGAGUGUUCUUUUUAAUUUGGCACUGGGGUGUGUACACACCGCCCGUCACCCUCUUCAAAGCUUAUAAAAAGUAACUUAACUAACCCCCGCAAUUAUAGAAGAGGCAAGUCGUAACAUGGUAAGUAUACCGGAAGGUGUGCUUGGAUU
rnacentral:rRNA from 1 species